rnacentral:rRNA from 1 species
GACGAACGCUGGCGGCGUGCUUAACACAUGCAAGUCGAACGCUGAAGCUCAGCUUGCUGGGUGGAUGAGUGGCGAACGGGUGAGUAACACGUGAGUAACCUGCCCUCUUCUUUGGGAUAACGCCCGGAAACGGGUGCUAAUACUGGAUAUUCACUGAUUCUCGCAUGGGGGUUGGUGGAAAGGUUUUUUCUGGUGGGGGAUGGGCUCGCGGCCUAUCAGCUUGUUGGUGGGGUGAUGGCCUACCAAGGCUUUGACGGGUAGCCGGCCUGAGAGGGUGACCGGUCACAUUGGGACCGGGAUACGGCCCAGACUCCUACGGGAGGCAGCAGUGGGGAAUAGUGCACAAUGGGCGAAAGCCUGAUGCAGCGACGCCGCGUGAGGGAUGGAGGCCUUCGGGUUGUAAACCUCUUUCGCUCAUGGUCAAGCCGCAGCUUUGGGUUGUGGUGAGGGUAGUGGGUAAAGAAGCGCCGGCUAACUACGUG